GGGGGCGUAAAGGUUUCGACGGGGACUUUGAGAUACGAUAAGCGGGCAGAGCACGGAGCAAGCUCUCAAACCGGCUCCAAUUAAAUUUUUAACUGCUAACGACGAUUUAGCUCUCGCUGCCUAAGUGCGGCGCGUCUGACAUAAGGGGUACCACGACCUUUUGUCGGGCGUCACGACCGUGGUGAACGUGAACCGCAGUUUCGCACUUGAAGCGGUCACGCAUAAAAGUGCUUUCCCUUUGCCGCCGCGGGCAUCCGACGGCACUGCGGGAGAUUAACGGUGUCAUGCGCCCGGAGAAAAUCGUAAGGAUGGGUUUUCGGACAGGGGUUCGAUUCCCCUCGCCUCCAUAU
rnacentral:tmRNA from 1 species